UGUAGGUUUUAUUGCUGUA
rnacentral:siRNA from 1 species